UACGGGGGGGGCAAGCGUUGUUCGGAAUUACUGGGCGUAAAGGGCUCGUAGGCGGCCAACUAAGUCCGACGUGAAAUCCCCAGGCUUAACCUGGGAACUGCGUCGGAUACUGGAUGGCUUGAAUUCGGGAGAGGGAUGCAGAAUUCCAGGUGUAGCGGUGAAAUGCGUAGAUAUCUGGAGGAAUACCGGUGGCGAAGGCGGCAUCCUGGACCGGCAUUGACGCUGAGGAGCGAAAGCUAGGGGAGCGAACGGG
rnacentral:rRNA from 1 species